rnacentral:rRNA from 1 species
AGUGAACGCUGGCGGUAGGCCUAACACAUGCAAGUCGAACGGCAGCACAGUAAGAGCUUGCUCUUACGGGUGGCGAGUGGCGGACGGGUGAGGAAUACAUCGGAAUCUACUUUUUCGUGGGGGAUAACGUAGGGAAACUUACGCUAAUACCGCAUACGACCUACGGGUGAAAGCAGGGGAUCUUCGGACCUUGCGCGAUUGAAUGAGCCGAUGUCGGAUUAGCUAGUUGGCGGGGUAAAGGCCCACCAAGGCGACGAUCCGUAGCUGGUCUGAGAGGAUGAUCGGCCACACUGGAACGGAGACACGGACCAGACUCAUACGGGAGGCACCAGAAGGGAAGCUUCCGCAAUGGGGGAAAGUGUGACGGAGCAACGCCGCGUGAGUGAUGAAGGUCUUCGGAUCGUAAAACUCUGUUAUGAGGGAAAAACAAAUGUGUAAGGAACUAUGCACGGCUGGACGGUACCUAAUCAGAAAGCCACGGCUAACUACGUG